rnacentral:rRNA from 1 species
AACGAACGCUGGCGGCAUGCCUAACACAUGCAAGUCGAACGAGACCUUCGGGUCUAGUGGCGCACGGGUGCGUAACGCGUGGGAACCUGCCCUUAGGUUCGGAAUAACUCCCCGAAAGGGGUGCUAAUACCGGAUAAUGUCUUCGGACCAAAGAUUUAUCGCCUUUGGAUGGGCCCGCGUUGGAUUAGCUAGUUGGUAGGGUAAAAGCCUACCAAGGCGACGAUCCAUAGCUGGUCUGAGAGGAUGAUCAGCCACACUGGGACUGAGACACGGCCCAGACUCCUACGGGAGGAAGAAGUGGGGAAUAUUGGACAAUGGGCGAAAGCCUGAUCCAGCAAUGCCGGGUGAGUGAUGAAGGCCUUAGGGUUGUAAAGCUCUUUUACCCGGGAUGAUAAUGACAGUACCGGGAGAAUAAGCUCCGGCUAACUCCGUG